UCCCUCAUAGCUCAGUCGGUAAAGCAUCUGCCUGCACUGCAGGAGACCUGGGUUUGAUUCCUGGGUUGGGAA
rnacentral:tRNA from 1 species